CCUGGUGAAAUUAGCGCUGUGGCACCACCCGAUCCCAUCCCGAACUCGGAAGUGAAACGCAGCUGCGCCGAUGGUAGUGUGGCUCAAGCCAUGCGAGAGU
rnacentral:rRNA from 1 species